rnacentral:rRNA from 1 species
GAUGAACGCUAGCAGAACGCCUAACACAUGCAAGUCGAACGAACCAGCAAUGGUUAGUGGCAAACGGGCGAGUAACGCGUAUCUAACCUACCCUUGAGUGAGGCACAACUACAGAGAUGUAGCUAAUUCCUCAUACGUUCUAGAGAAUGAAAAUAUCUAGAAGAAAGAUUUAUCGCUCAGGGAGGGGGGUGCGUCCUAUCAGGUAGUUGGUGAGGUAAUAGCUCACCAAGCCUAUGACGGGUAGCCGGUCUGAGAGGAUGUCCGGCCGCAAUGGAACUGAGAACGGUCCAUACUCCUACGGGAGGCAGCAGUGGGGAAUAUUGGACAAUGGGCGAAAGCCUGAUCCAGCGAUUCUGCGUGAAGGAUGAAGCCUUAUGGGGUGUAAACUUCUUUUCUGGGGGAAGACGGAAUGGACGGUACCUCGAGGAAUAAGAGACGGCUAACUACGUGCCAGCAGCCGCGGU